UUUAGCCUCUCUUAUUUCUCUCUCUCUCCCCUCUCUUUCUCCCAAAAAUCAGAGCUCUGCAGGCAGUGCCGUUCUCUCCCAUGCCCAUCCCAUUCCAGAGCAUGGCGGAGAGAUCGGAGCUUCCCUGUGUAGGAAGCUUCCUCGACGUCUGCUUCCCCGCGACCAAAUCCAUGGCAGUACAGUGGAUCUUGCAAAAAGGGCCUAGGAUGGUUGCAGCAUGGUGCCAGUGGCCUGGCAGUGGAGCACGGCGGCGCUGGGACCGAGGGCGCCGCAGGCGUAGAGCAGGCAGGGGGACUGCCUCGGCGACGGGGCGUAGAGCCGGCGGAAGGCGGCGUAUGCUUGCAUUCCAGGAGGUGCCGACUGCAUCGGAGUUCCAGGUUAGUUAAAAUCAAACACAAACUAAAAAUUCUUGUUCUUCUGUGCAUGCCAGCUGAUUACAUCAAAAGGAAAAAUUCAGGCGGUGGAUAUCAACUAAAUCUCUACUGCAUGCCCGGUUAGCAAUCUCAUAUCCCGAUCUAUCCACUUCAAUUUAAUUAACUUGUACUACUAUUACCUUUCUACUAGGAUGUGGAGGGUAGAAGCAAUGCAUCCCAAGAUAGAAAAAAAAAAUCAUUUUUCGUUCCCCAUGGUUAUUCGUUCUGUAUCCUCCUCACGGUUAUGGAUUCAUGGUGCAGCUUGAAUCGCAACAAGCGGUGGUGUAAUCCAACUGUGUAUUAUCAAAGAAAUGCUUGUUCGGACGGUGCUGGAAUGGGGAGCUCUAAGAUGCACAGCCAGGAGUAAUUCUAAACGCUCUAAGAAAUUGCAUCAGCGGAAACUAGGAAGUUCGUGUAGGAGGGCUUAACUGCUCUCUACUGCUACCUUGCACUGCUUGGCUUCAUCAUCAAUACCCAAUAUUCCUAGCACAAAAUGCACUUAAAUUUACUCUAUCAUAACAGCAUUUUGUGCUCACUAUAGGAAAAAGUGGGCAAUUUCGAUGUGUUUGUGUGAUCGGCUUGUACACCACGUAAACUUUGUUGAAUCAAAUUCUGUGCGACCAACCAAGUGAUUUUUGA